CGCCUCGUUCUGGGGGAGUAGCCUCGGCGAGCGACAGCGCCGGCAACUGUCAACAUGCUUGGCUUCACAGCCAUGGCAGUUGCGACGAUACCUUCCGUUUGGCAAGACCCAUGACAUGCUUGCGCAUCGCGGGGCCGCGGCGCAGGUUUGUCAUGGCGUAUGCGCGGCCCCUGGAGUU
rnacentral:sRNA from 2 species